rnacentral:rRNA from 1 species
AGACGACGACGUUGAUAGGCCGGGUGUGUAAGCGCAGCGAUGCGUUGAGCUAACCGGUACUAAGUAACCGGGAGGCUUAACCUUACAACGCCGAAGGUGUUU